GACGAACCGUGCGAACGUUGUUCGGAAUCACUGGGCUUAAAGGGCGCGUAGGCGGGCUACCAAGUCAGGGGUGAAAUCCUGCGGCUCAACCGUAGAAGUGCCUUUGAUACUGAAGAUCUUGAGUCCGGGAGAGGUGAGUGGAACUGCGAGUGUAGAGGUGAAAUUCGUAGAUAUUCGCAAGAACACCAGUGGCGAAGGCGGCUCACUGGCCCGGUACUGACGCUGAGGCACGAAAGCGUGGGGAGCAAACAGG
rnacentral:rRNA from 1 species